GUCGAGUGGCAAGUGGACCUCGGUGGUAUUCGCAGUGUCUACAAAAUCAGGAUAUUGUUUAAAAGCUAUGGCGAAAAGUAUGUAUCAAGGCAACGUGGGCGAUUUGCAGGUUUUUCACUACACCUCUCAAAUUCUACAAAUAAAGAAGAUGGUUAUGUCUGUUACAAAGAUGGACCCAAGUUACCUUCAUUGGAUUUUAAUACAACAUGUGUGGGCCAUGCACGGUAUCUAACUUUUUACAAUGAAAGAUCAGACAAUAAAGCCUACCCAGACGGUUAUGAAAGGUAUUCAGUCACUGAACUCUGCGAAGUAAUUGUUCAAGGUUGUGAACAAGAAGUGUAUGGGCCAAACUGCACACUGCCUUGUCCAGAUAAUUGCCAAGAACGCAGAUGUAACGUCAUAAACGGAACGUGCUUAGGCUGCUUGUCUGGGUGGAUUGGAAAAUAUUGUG